CACGUAGGCACCAAGCGUUAUCCGGAUUUAUUGGGCGUAAAGAGCUCGUAGGCGGCUUGGCAAGUCGGGUGUGAAACCUCCAGGCUCAACCUGGAGACGCCACUCGAUACUGCUAUGGCUAGAGUCCGGUAGGGGACCACGGAAUUCCUGGUGUAGCGGUGAAAUGCGCAGAUAUCAGGAGGAACACCGGUGGCGAAGGCGGUGGUCUGGGCCGGCACUGACGCUGAGGAGCGGAAGCGUGGGUAGCAAACAGG
rnacentral:rRNA from 1 species